CAUUCCUCACAAUCUUAAGAAAACGCUGUGGAGAGACAAGGGAAGAAAUGCAAAGGACUCUUUAAAAAAAGCUGCAGUGUGGGGAUCUGGCAGAGCUCAAGGAACCACGGAGGUUCAGAGCAAGCACAGUUCUUCCCACCAGCAGGUCAAGGACUUCUUCUAAAACAGUAAGUCAGCAACAUUACUAAUUCAGAGCAGACACAUUGCUGAUGGAAAGUCAUCACAAUUAGAAGACGUGGGAGCCCUUUGAAGUGCGAAGCGACCAAGUUCGACACUCGCUUUUCAAAAUUAAACCGUUAAGUUAAUGAAGUCUGCCUGUGUCGUGAAGAAAGGAGCAAGGAGUGGGAAGAGCUAUGACUGAAUAUCGACUAGGAAAUCUGCAGAAAGAGAAAAGAGGGUCCUGGAGGAAUCAAGAGGGUCCUGAAGGCAGACACUUUGUAUAAAACUUUUAGGUGAACUGCACCACAGAUGGUAUUCUUCUGGUUCGGACAGUUUCGCCUGAACUGGUAGUCGAAAUCGCGGGUGGGCCUGCCCACAUUUUCAAGCCAAAGCGCAUGCGCAGAAGCUGAGCGCAAGCACGGAGGGGAGCAUGCGUGGAUGGGCACUUGCGUGCGCUCACAUUUGCGAAUCGGUAGGGAAG